CAGGGUUUGACACAGUCCUCUUCAGAAGUUCUGUCAUGUCAAAGACUUCAUUAAUUUAUCUGCAUUUUUGCCCAACGCUAUCCAAAAAGGAGCCCUUGAGAGAAGAGGAGGAGGAGUGCUUGAAGCCGAGAGGUCUCCAGUCUGAAACUCACGAGAUACUACAGGAGGGCGGAGCACAACCAACAGGGAGUCCCAGGAGAUUAUCAUCGAAUAAUUGUCUUAGCAUAGGAGCUGAACUGGAGGACUGGUGACUGCUCGGUUUAGAGGCAGGCAAACGGUGGCUUAAAUGCAAGCAGUCAAAGGGCAUGAAUUUGGUUCCACUAUUUGCCUUGGGGCACCACGGACCAGGCCACGGUGAACGGACAAAAAGUAAUCACAACUUUUCCAACUUUAACAUACAGAAGAAGGGUCUUAGCUUCAGCAAACAAAUGUUCCUAGAGUCAGUCUCUGACAUUUCUGAGGGAGUCUGGAGAACUGCUCACAUUCUUUGUGACAAUAUUAAGCCAGAUGAACAAAAGGCCUGAUUUGUUGGUAUCUCCAAGAGUGUGCUCUAGAAAUAAUCAUUUUGCUCCCCAUCCUGCCCUUGUCAGAAUUAAAAUCCAUCCAGCUUUUAAGGUAAUUUCUUGAGCUCUGUUCUCUGAUUUUCCUUUGAAACAGACCUGGGCCUUUUUGGUGGUGAUUUCAAAUCUCUGGAACACCCUCCUUGGGGAAAGCCAUUAAGCAUAUCCAUCAUGCAUUUCUAAGCCCGCUUUGAAACCAUUUUUAUUCUAAUAAUUUUUGCAAUUCAUUUCUGGGUAUGAACGUAAGAAAGCCUAUCUCCUUCAACAUCCUGUUCCCCACAAUUACCAGCCAGAUGGCUAUGAAAAGCCCCCAACCAGAACACUGAGGCUCUUUGUCUUCUAACAGAUGCAUUGCAAAUGGAAUUUUUUUUUAAAAUGCAGCUUUCCAUACCACUGCAUCCCCACAUCUGUAGACUUAUAUCUCUUGAACAUCUCCCUGUUCUCAACCUAUGAAGCAUGAGAUAUGUCAGGUUAUAAAAGGAAAAGAACCUAUUGCUGACAGUGUCUGAAGGAAGCGCUUAAUUGAAUGAACUCCAGUGGAACAUUAGCUAGGCGGUCAAAUUAAUAUAUUCUAGAAGAACAAACUAAUAUUCCACAGGACUCAGUCAAAAGACAUGUUUAGUACAAAAGCUGUUGGUUUAUUACCUUCUGCUGCCAAGAACUCUGUGAUCUAGGGCGCUGAUUCUUGAAUUCUUGAACCAUAUCCAGGGUUCUUCCCUCCUCCCCUUUCUCAUAUUACGCAGAUGUUCUUUUUUGUUAUCUUUCUCAGCUUUCGUUGAGCUGAUGAAAAAUAUUACACAGCCCAAGCCUGCUGUUGUUGAAAUUGCUCUCUAGGACAGCUUCUUUCUGCAAUAUACUCAGCAUUAUUUAGACUCUCGCAUAUUCUGUCUGUGUGGAUGAUGAAGUGCUAUGAACCAAAUUAAUGGAACAGUAAUGGAGGAGAGGAGGAAGAAGGAUGUAUCUAAGGUAGCUUUAAUCAUGAGGCAGAGAACCGAAAUAAAGGUUUCAGUGAAUGGCGGGGUAGGAAGCAAAAAUAAAGAGAGAGAAAGGUGGGUCAAAGCAACCCAAAAUAUGAAGAACAGCAUCUAACCUACUCUUUCAGCUACAAUUCUUUUUAUGGUCAUACAUUUGGCACUUAACAAAUAGCUUAAAUUAUAACUGUCCAUACCUAAAUACAAGACCUUUUAAUACUCUGAGAAGCACAGGAACAAAAUGUUCAUUUGAGCCUCUCUCCUCUUCUCCGUACUUACUUUUUUGCUACACAGUGCAUUUUUUUCAAACUGUUUCUUGUCCAUUAGAGAUCAAAAGCCCAAUGAGUGUGUAGAGAAACCAGAAGUAUUGAAAUACAGAUCCAUCCAAACCUGAAGUAUCGAAAUACAGAUCUAUCCAAUCAUUUCACUUCAGGCAGUGAAUUAUACUAUAAAUGGGGUCUCCUCCAGGUAGAGGGGCCCAGGAAAAUUGUCCCAAUCACUUCCCCUUUAAAAUGGACCUGCCUAAACACUGGUAGUACGUCAACUCUACUGCACCACCUGAAGGACUGGGUUGGGAACAGAUCUCCUGUAGAAUAUCUAUUUAUGGAGUCACUAAGAGUCAAUACUGACAUGAUGGCAUAUAAUCAACCAUAAGCACCACCAAGUAUCCUAAACCCAAUCCAGUAGUCAAAUACUCAAAAGCCAAGAAGACUUUCCCCUUCCUUCUGGACAUGGUGAAGAUUCAGAGAAGAUGCUGUUCAGGACAGCUUAUCCCCCAGAAUCUCGAGCCUGUGCUGAAUAGGAAGGACAUAUCAGUUGCCUUGCUAGAUGAAGGUCCUCCUAAUCUAAAUCUCUACACCAUUCAAAUUUCAGAACCUAGCAGGAAAGUUACAGGGGGCUGAUAUUGAAUAGGAGAGCGUAGGGGGAUUUCUUACCAAAACAUGGUGGGGGGUAGUUCAACCACAAACUGAAAAACAAAAGGUUUGCAAAUCUAAAUAGGGUUUUUCACCAAACCUAAAUUGCUUCGCCAAACCUGAAUAGGGUUUUUCACCAAGCCUAAAUUGCUUCCAUUCUACUUAAGUAAUUUAGUAUAUGUGUUUACAGAAAGCAUUGGAAAAAAUAAUACUUAAUAUUUCUUCCUUAUUUUUCCCCAUGAUCUUCUGGGUGAGAUUUUUCUUAAAGAAGCUUGCAGUUCGAUACUAAUCAAGUAAGUGUCUUUAGUAUGACAGCCUUAGGCUAUAUUCUGUCCACAUUAUAACCCCAUAUUGAUUUUAUCACAAGUUAACUGUCAUGCAAACCUAGAAACUGCAGGCUGGUAAAAUUCUGGUUUGCUGAGACUCCUGUGAUCACAAUCCCUAGCUCUUCUCAUAAAAGUACAAUUCAUAGGGUUUUCAGGAAGUGACAGUGGAAUGGAA